rnacentral:rRNA from 1 species
UGGGGAAUCUUGCGCAAUGGGGGAAACCCUGACGCAGCGACGCCGCGUGCGGGAUGAAGGCCUUCGGGUUGUAAACCGCUUUCAGCAGGGACGAGGCCUUAUGGUGACGGUACCUGCCGAAGAAGCUCCGGCUAAAUACGUGCCAGCAGCCGCGGUAAUACGUAUGGAGCAAGCGUUAUCCGGAUUCAUUGGGCGUAAAGCGCUCGUAGGCGGUCUGUUAGGUCGGCAAGUUAAAUCCGGGGGCUCAACCCCCGUCCGCUUCCGAUACCGGCAGACUUGAGUUUGGUAGGGGAAGGUGGAAUUCCUCGUGUAGCGGUGGAAUGCGCAGAUAUUAGGAAGAACACCGGUGGCGAAGGCGGCCUUCUGGGCAAUAACUGACGCUGAGGAGCGAAAGCUAGGGGAGCGAACAGG